CACAUGAUUUAAGUUUAAGGGAAAGCCGUUUUCACUAAAACUUUUUCUAUACAUCAGUUGAGAUCGACAAUUUGACCGUUAGGUGGGCAUCAUAAACUUUGACUGUUUCAAUGCAUUUUGCUCUUGACCACGCGUAUUAUUACGCGAAUAUUUCACCAACUAUCUGAAAUAUUUUCAAAUAUUUCAAAUUAUUUCAAACGAUAAACGAAAAUAUUACUUCUGAAAAUUGUAAGCUUUAAGAAGAAAUGCAUAAUAUGAUAACAAUAAUUUCUUUACAAGUAGAGAUGUCAAAAGGAUUAGGAAGGCGCCAAAGCUGUUUUUGUCAAAUGGAAUAUUCAAUUUUUCAUGUUUAAAUUCGAUAGAAUAACGAGCUCUUAGCAUAGAAGUACUAAGGCAUAUUUGUCCUAAAAUUUAUCGUACCCGAGAUACUUGGCGUCAUUUGGCUUUUCGAUUGUGUAAUCAUGAAAUCAACUAAAUUAAAUCUCAUGCCAUUUCUUUUAUUUAUUUUAAUGAAAUAAUAAGAAUAUAAAUACAGUAGUAAUAUGAUAAUUGAACUCGAUACGAAAAUUAAAUACAGCGAAAUAACCUGAUCAUAUCUUGAUCAGUUUUUCUUAAACAACUGACCGAAACGUAGCACCGUUGAAGAAUACAGGAAAACGAGUUAUAUCAAUCUACUAAUUACUACGAGACAACCAAUAACUGUGUGGUUAUAGAACAAUAAAAUUUAUGUAUUUAAAAAUUUUUCACUUUUUCAAAAUUUCUACUUGAACCAAUUCUAAAAAAUGGUAAUAAAUUUUAACAAAUUCAUCUAUUAAUCAAAACCGAGACUUUAUGAAUUCUGUGAAUGAAAUUUAGUAGGAUUUAUAGUUGAUAUAAAAUGCUAGUGUACAAAUGGGAUGUUCUUCCAUGUUGACAAUUACAAAGAAUGCUAGAGCUAGAGCGGCGGUUCUUAACCUUUUGUUUAUCACGGACUUUCCUUUACAUAAUUUUUCGUUGCCGUGGAUCUCCAAGACUUACUUCAAAAUUUAAAUAAGUUAAUUCAAGAUCUAAUGUGUCAAAUAUGUAUGUAGUUAUUAUAUUCAUCAACUGCUCAUCAACAACCUUCAAAUUUGAAGAAGAGAGAUUCAUUAUAAAUAUAAUACAUAUACCAAAUAUUUUUUAUUCAAAUAAUACAUUAAUAAUCACAGGCUUUAUUGCUAAUUAACAUGUGGAUGGCUACCCCUAGCGGGAUACCAUCUUCGAGUGAGAGUAUCUCAAUAUCCCAGACAGGCGUCACACUUGCAUUGGAAUUCGCUUAGCCCACGAUACAGCAAAGGGGAAGACUUCAUACAUGGCACCUUUCCUCAAGCAACGCAAUGUUGCAUUUUAUACCAUAAAUAACGUUAUUUAGAACAUUAUAGCCAAAGAUCAGAAUUGUUGAACGAUAUUCAAAUUAUUAUUAAAGCUACUUCAGAAAAUAUGGUUUUAAGGAAAAUGCGUUUAACAUUUUCCUCAUCCUCGUACUAUCAGUUACUUGUGAUACAUAAUACAUACGAAAAUAAAACAUUUUUAAUUCAUAA